AAAACAUCUUUUCUUGUUAGUUUUUGAAGUAUGGCCUGCCCGCUGACAUUAAGUUGAAGGGCCGCGGUAUUUUGACCGUGCAAAGGUAGCAUAAUCAUUAGUUCUUUAAUUGUGAUCUGGAAUGAAUGGCUUGACGAGGCACGAGCUGUCUUAGUGUUGAAUAUUUUAUUGAAUUUGGUCUUUGAGUUAAAAUUCUUAGAUGUUUUUAUGGGACGAGAAGACCCUAUAGAGUUUGACAUAUUAGUUUAUUCAUUUAUUGGUUGUUUGUUUUAUUUAUUGGUGAGUGGGCUUUUUGUUUUGUUGGGGUGAUGAGAGGAAUGAUUUAACUCCUCUUGGUUUUGGUUAUAUUGAUUUAUAGUUGUUUGAUCCAUUUAUUUUGAUUAUAAGAUUAAAUUACCUUAGGGAUAACAGCGU
rnacentral:rRNA from 1 species